GGCGCCGGGACAGGGGCAGGGUGCGGUGAUCCGCACGCCGCCCCGACAGCCCAGGGAGGGCAUCGCCGCCCCGUCCCGCGGCGAGGAGGGUAAAAGUGCCCGGCAGGAGGAGCGGAUGUGGCCGGGACCCGCUGAGGCGCGGUGGCCGUGUGCUCGGGGAGCCCCUGCCCGCCGCUGGCCCAGGUACGGAUCCAGGAUGCGCGCUGAGGGCGCCGUGUUGGGCUGCCGUGUCAGCACCUGGCUCCUCACACACGAGCUCAGCCGCUUAACUUUGCGUUUCAGGUUCCUCUGAGCUUCUGCUCACCUUUCUUCUGAAGCCGCUGCAGAGGUUGGCUUCCCCUCGCGAGGCAGCAGGCUGCCGCACGUGUAGUUGUGCUGUGACCGGAUCGCUCCUGCGGUAAGUUUGUUGUUUUAGGCAGCUAACAGUGGCGAAGUUUGGACCUUGGAAAAACGGUAUGGUUUUGGUAAGGUCUCUCAAGGCUGCUGGGGCCUGUUUUGGGCAUAGGGCUGGAGCUGAGAAGUCUGGUUCUUUUUCCGAUACGGAAGUACUUCAGCAGUUUAACUGCGCGAUUUCAGUAACUUGAUGAUAUUAAACUAGUUAUGGAUUUUUUUAAAGUACCAUGGGCUAAAAUCUCUAUUCUGCAGUUAUAAAUGCUGGUGAAACUCCAGCUCAUUUAAAAUCAAAGGCAAGGCUCUGUUUUCAGUAAGGCAAGGGGCUGAGAAAAUCUGAAAAAGUAGAAAACACUGACUGGUGAUCUAGUCACAGUCCCUGUGCCUGUGACUUCUCAAAUGGGCUGUCAUCAUGGCAGAUUCUUUUGUUGUUAUAUGAUUCAGUUUUUGCUAAAAUUUCCAGUCCGCAGCUCCCAUUUUCUACUUACUUAUUUGUCUUCAAAUACAGACAAAGAUAAGAACUGUUAGGCACAUUCUGUCAUUACCCCGAAGAUUUUUUUUUAGGUAGAUGUUUUGGACUCUGUACAAGUUUGUUCUUUCACUCUAUCCAGUGCUGAAAAAUGAUAGGUCCCAAGGAGAUCAGCUAUUGACCACCCUUACUCAUUUAGAAGUGUAUCUCCCAGCUGUUCUGAGAGGCAGAGUAGCAAGCUUGUGGAAACACUGCUGUUAUUAUAGAGGUUCUUUGAUCCGGAGGGAAUGAACAGAUUUUUUUUUUUAAUCUUUACUGAACAGCUAAAAGUGAAAAUAAUUUGUAUUCAAAAUAAUGCUAUGCAUACAGUAACAGAAAAAGUAUAAAUGAGAAAUAGUUUUAUGGUGUAAUGCUGAACGUGUACUUUGGAAUAUCAAGGCUUGGUGCUGGCCAUGUGACCUACUCAAAACACACAAACUCUUUGCAGAUCAUUAGUUUAAUUUGUGGAAAAGGUAAUUUUCCUAAUACUUACCUCAUGCUGUAGCAUAUUCUGCCACUGUAAGUGUGCUUCUAGGUUAUAUUUGAUCCCAAAAAAAAAGCAUUGUGGGACUUGGUUAAUUUGGGCAAAGUUGUAACAAAUGGCUGGACUUGGACAAGCGAUACAAGCGAGACUGUCUUUAACUGCCCACGAACAUGCUUAAGUGCAUGAAUUCACUUAAGUGAAAAAGUCAGGAGGAAGCCAUGAGCAGCUGGUGAACUCUGCUCGGGGUGGUCUUCCAGUGAAGCUCCCUUUGAAGACUUAUCUCAUGCUGCUGCCACCAAAACUCACAUUCACUUUCCAGUAUUUUGCCCACAGACACGUUUGUCCAGAAAGAUGUUGCCUUCUGUGGUAUGUCUCAAAGAAGUCCUUGCAAAAACACAAAAUCCUGAGCUGCUCUUCUCAAUUUUGUGUGGCCAUAGUGGAGCAGGACAGCAUGUUCUCCACAGAGACUGAUAUGGUUGAAAUGAAGAUGAGAAAGCAGAGGCAGAUUGUACAUCCUAUGCUACAAAGCAUGGAGAGGCUCAUCCUAUUCACAACUGACAGGCAGAGGGUUCAGAAGGUAUUUUGGAAGAGGGAGAGAAAAAGGCCUGAAGUCUGAAAAUGUGCUGGUAACAUUUGGCUGCAGAGGUGAAGUGUUCUUACCUUAAUACAGUCUUCUAGCAUUCAUGUCAUUCUGUGGUCUACUGUUUUCGUCUUUGAAGUCACCUGUGCAACUUCCUCCACAGCAGAGCUUGAUGGCAGAAGAACUUGGAAACAUUUGGUAGAGCCACGUGUGAUUGAUCAAAAUAUUCACCCUAAGCAAACAAAAAACCAAACAGAUUGGAAGGAUUUUCUAGAGAUGGGAUUUACCUGCAGCAGAACGUGACUAUCAGAAUCCAGGAGACGCUUCCAAAAGAACUUGUUCUACCAGCACAAUCACUUUGAAGGUCUUCAUCCACAUUUCUGCAAUAAAAAGAAUUGAAACCCCAUGUUUUGUAACAAGUUCUUCAGUGCAAGUGUGCUGCAGGACUUCAAAAAGAGCCAUAGUUACCACACCUACUUAACUGUUAAGCGUUUGAAUUAGGCUAUCUGUAAUUAAUAAUGACUUUUCCCGUGGGACCCUUCUGGAGGAAGAGAGUUUGCUUCAGGUGGUGUGGUGAGGAGACGAGGCAGCCUCAGCUCAUCCUUGGCAGAAUGCUGUGGCGGCCCAGGGCCCGGUGCUGGUGGGGCUGAUGCUGAGAGCUGCGCUGCUGUCACAAGCACAGGCCAAAGCUCAGGCCAACUCGUCCUCUCCCUUUGCUCCUGCCUUGCCUCUCAUGUGGCCCCCAGGGGCAGCUCCAUGCCAACAGCAGAACAGGAUCGUCCUUGUUCCUGUUAAAGCAUGCUCGUGAUCUGGACUCUGUGACCCAAGCAGGACUGAGGGACACAUCUGGUAAGGCAAUGCCGAUGGUAAGAAGCUGAAUGGUCUUCAUCCCCUUGCCACCGUCCCAGGAUUUGUAAGAGUGACAUAGUAUUUUAUCCCUUUACAAGAUUAGGGAUGCAGAAGUUGUGGGAUUUGCCUCUCACACUGAGGUGCUGCUGGCUGGUUCACUGCGUGGUGGAGGGUGUCCAUAAGAGCUGAUUUAACCUGAAAAAAAAAGUGUGUAUCCUUUCUCAGGAGAUCCACAGCAGGGCUGAGGAAUUGCAAAUGUUGCAUCCGCUUCCUCCUGUCAUCUGCUCCCACAUGACUGCAGUGCCCGUGCUGUGCUCUUAGCUCACCCUGCAAAUGGUCCUUGUGAUGGAAGUUAGUACAGAGCUGGUACAGAGGACGUUUGUUGGCAGUAUCCUUGCUUGCAUUCCACUGGCACCAGCUGCUCUACACACAGGAACCCAAGGUGGCAAAUGCUCUUACAGUCUCUUUCAAUUUUCAGGUGAAGGUCUAUAUUGCAUUAACCUCUUCUGUUUUGGGGGGAAAUGGUAAAGCUUUUAUUUAUUUAUUUUUAAGAAAAACAUGUUAAACCCAAGUGGGAGAAACAACUGCAUUGCGUACUGUGGUUGGGAGCGCAGGGCAUUUGCGUUCCAUCUGAUCUUGAGCUUCCACUCCCUGCAGUUACUAAAUGUGGUAGCUGUUGGCAUGAGCAUAGACUCAGAGAUGGGCAGGACUAGUUUGCCAUGCCAAAUGUUUUUCUGUUGCCCUCAUCCUAUUUUCUAGAACCAAAGAUUUUACUGUGAUAAAGAUGACAUCUUAAAGCACUGCAGGAGAUAAGAGGAUGUAACUGCACUUGAUCUGAACUUGGAUUAGGUAUGUCUCUGAUCUGUAUCCAUCUUGAAGCUUACCAGUGAAUAACCAUGCAUAUGAACAAUGAAAAUAUGACCACCUUAUUCUGUAAAUACAAAAAAGAAAGGAACAGCUUUGAAAAUCCAGCCAUCUUUCAAGUUCUCUGAAAGCGUAUAGACCCUGAGUCAUCACAGUGAAAUUCAACAGGCAUGUUCUUAUUAGUGGACUGAGAAUAUAGAUGUGGUUUUAUAUGUGGAAACCUGUAUUUAUAUGUGGAAAUUUGUGUAUUUUUCCAGUAGUCUUCAUUAAUGUAAUAAACAAUGCUCUCUCUCCCUG